GUCUACCACCGAAGAGCCUAUCAUCUUACAACGCAACAAUAGACUUUUUACGUAAUCGUUGUUUCGUCUUGGAGAGAUGCGAGGCCAACAGUUCGACCAAACCGAGUGAAACGAAGUUCAAGGCAUUACCUCCGACCCCCAAAUCGCCAUAUCCGAGCUCCAAGCCACCGCUCAAGAUUCCCUUCGUUUAAGUUUCCCAGGAAGAAGCUUCGUUCAUCUGUGUUUCCUGAAGGAGAACCCUGAGAUAAUGUUUUCCGGAGAAUUGAACACCCCCCCCCCCCCUCCCCCUCGGGAUCACGCGUAUGGGCAAGCGGAAAACAUUAAAAGCAGCUUAUAAAAAUAUUGAUUGGAUAAUUAUUGCAUCUGUAUGUAGUAGUAUAAAUAAAUAAAUUUAAGCCUUCAA